rnacentral:rRNA from 1 species
UACAGGAGGGUGCAAGCGUAAUCGGAAUUACUGGGCGUAAAGCGUGCGUAGUCGGUUAUCUAAGUCGGGUGUGAAAUCCCCGGGCUCAACCUGGGAACUGCGUCCGAUACUGGCAGGCUUGAAUUCGGGAGAGGGAUGUGGAAUUCCGAGGUGUAGCGGUGAAAUGCGUAGAUAUCUGGAGGAACACCGGUGGCGAAGGCGGCGAUCCUGGACCGAUAUUGACGCUGAGUGCGCGAAAGCCAGGGGAGCAAAGCGGG